UAGGGAAUCUUCGGCAAUGGACGGAAGUCUGACCGAGCAACGCCGCGUGAGUGAAGAAGGUUUUCGGAUCGUAAAGCUCUGUUGUUAGAGAAGAACGUUGGUAGGAGUGGAAAAUCUACCAAGUGACGGUAACUAACCAGAAAGGGACGGCUAACUACGUGCCAGCAGCCGCGGUAAUACGUAGGUCCCGAGCGUUGUCCGGAUUUAUUGGGCGUAAAGCGAGCGCAGGCGGUUCUUUAAGUCUGAAGUUAAAGGCAGUGGCUUAACCAUUGUACGCUUUGGAAACUGGAGGAUUUGAGUGCAGAAGGGGAGAGUGGAAUUCCAUGUGUAGCGGUGAAAUGCGUAGAUAUAUGGAGGAACACCGGUGGCGAAAGCGGCUCUCUGGUCUGUAACUGACGCUGGGGCUCGAAAGCGUGGGGAGAAAACAGG
rnacentral:rRNA from 1 species